UACGGAGGAUCCGAGCGUUAUCCGGAUUUAUUGGGUUUAAAGGGUGCGCAGGCGGGAGAUUAAGUCGGCGGUGAAAUUUUGCAGCUCAACUGUAAAAGUGCCUUCGAAACUGGUUUCCUUGAGUGUAGAUGAAGUAGGCGGAAUUUGUGGUGUAGCGGUGAAAUGCAUAGAUAUCACGAGGAACUCCGAUUGCGCAGGCAGCUUACUAAACUACUACUGACGCUCAGGCACGAAGGCGUGGGGAUCAAACAGGAUUAGAUACCUGUGUA
rnacentral:rRNA from 1 species